rnacentral:rRNA from 1 species
AUUGCCCUAGUAACGGCGAGUGAAGCGGCAACAGCUCAAAUUUGAAAGCUAGCCUUCGGGUUCGCAUUGUAAUUUGUAGAGGAUGAUUUGGGGAAGCCGCCUGUCUAAGUUCCUUGGAACAGGACGUCAUAGAGGGUGAGAAUCCCGUAUGUGACAGGAAAUGGCACCCUAUGUAAAUCUCCUUCGACGAGUCGAGUUGUUUGGGAAUGCAGCUCUAAAUGGGAGGUAAAUUUCUUCUAAAGCUAAAUAUUGGCGAGAGACCGAUAGCGCACAAGUAGAGUGAUCGAAAGAUGAAAAGCACUUUGGAAAGAGAGUUAAAAAGCACGUGAAAUUGUUGAAAGGGAAGCGCUUGCAAUCAGACUUGUUUAAACUGUUCGGCCGGUCUUCUGACCGGUUUACUCAGUUUGGACAGGCCAGCAUCAGUUUCGGCGGCCGGAUAAAGGCUCUGGGAAUGUGGCCUCCACUUCGGUGGAGGUGUUAUAGCCCAGGGUGUAAUACGGCCAGCCGGGACUGAGGUCCGCGCUUCGGCUAGGAUGCUGGCGUAAUGGUUGUAAGCGACCCGUCUUGAAACACGGACCAAGGAGUCUAACAUCUAUGCGAGUGUUCGGGUGUCAAACCCCUGCGCGUAAUGAAAGUGAACGGAGGUGGGAACCCGCAAGGGUGCACCAUCGACCGAUCCUGAUGUCUUCGGAUGGAUUUGAGUAAGAGCAUAGCUGUUGGGACCCGAAAGAUGGUGAACUAUGCCUGAAUAGGGUGAAGCCAGAGGAAACUCUGGUGGAGGCUCGCAGCGGUUCUGACGUGCAAAUCGAUCGUCAAAUUUGGGUAUAGGGGCG